rnacentral:rRNA from 1 species
GAUGAAUGCUAGCGGCAGGCCUAAUACAUGCAAGUCGGACGGGAUUGUGGAGCUUGCUUCACAUGAGAGUGGCGCACGGGUGCGUAACACGUAUGUAACCUACCCUUGUCAGGGGGAUAGCCUCUCGAAAGAGAGAUUAAGACCGCAUAACAUUGUUUUGUGGCAUCACAGAACAAUCAAAUAUUUAUAGGACAAGGAUGGGCAUGCGGAACAUUAGCUAGUUGGUAAGGUAACGGCUUACCAAGGCUACGAUGUUUAGGGGAUCUGAGAGGAUGGCCCCCCACACUGGUACUGAGACACGGACCAGACUCCUACGGGAGGCAGCGGUAAGGAAUAUUGGUCAAUGAGCGGAAGCCUGAACCAGCCAUGCCGCGUGCAGGAAGACGGCCCUACGGGUUGUAAACUGCUUUUACAGGGGAAUAAACCUCGGUACGUGUACCGAGCUAAAUGUACUCUGAGAAUAAGGAUCGGCUAACUCCGUGCCAGCAGCCGCCGUAA